AAUUAGCUACCAAUCCCAGACUGGUUGCACUAAAUGGAGUUUUGUUGUCUUCCCUUUUCUGUUGCGAGUUAUGGCCUAUCUACAGAAUGGUAAGAUUUGUGUAUUGCCAUAAAAUGCCAUAGACCAGAAUUAUGACUGGGUCAGAGAAUAGAGGCUGAGCUGCCAGGUCCACUGAACAGCAUCGCAGCUGUCGUGAGAUGCUGCUGGGCGAGGAGACUUCAAAUCCCUUAAUACUAAUUCAGAAAGCCUGCCAGAAGUUGGCUGGAAAAUGCAUUUAUCUCACUGCUUCAAUAUUGCUACACAAAUGCCACAAUUAUUUUUCCUCAGCAGCUCUGUGAGAAAAACAAUGACUUGAGUGCAUGAAAAUAAAACCAGGCUGCCACUCUGGACACUGGUAGAGCCAAUGGUGAGAGAAGAGUAACAACUGGGAGCAAGCUCCUAUCUUCUGUUCACAAUUUUCUUGUCUUCAUUUCAGUGCCCAGCUUUCUCUGUAAUGAAAAGCAAAAUUUAAUAAAGAGAAGCUACAUUUGCUGAGUUUGA